rnacentral:miRNA from 1 species
AGCUGCUUUGGGACUACAAGUCCCAUCAUCCCUAGCUAACAGGAUGGUCAGGGAUGAUGGGAAUUGUAGUCCCAAAACAGCU